UGGGGAAUAUUGCGCAAUGGGGGGAACCCUGACGCAGCCAUGCCGCGUGAAUGAAGAAGGCCUUCGGGUUGUAAAGUUCUUUCGGUAUUGAGGAAGGUUGAUGUGUUAAUAGUACAUCAAAUUGACGUUAAAUACAGAAGAAGCACCGGCUAACUCCGUGCCAGCAGCCGCGGUAAUACGGAGGGUGCGAGCGUUAAUCGGAAUAACUGGGUGUAAAGGGCACGCAGGCGGUUAUUUAAGUGAGGUGUGAAAGCCCUGGGCUUAACCUAGGAAUUGCAUUUCAGACUGGGUAACUAGAGUACUUUAGGGAGGGGUAGAAUUCCACGUGUAGCGGUGAAAUGCGUAGAGAUGUGGAGGAAUACCGAAGGCGAAGGCAGCCCCUUGGGAAUGUACUGACGCUCAUGUGCGAAAGCGUGGGGAGCAAACAGGAUUAGAUACCCUGGUAGUCCACGCUGUAAACGCUGUCGAUUUGGGGGUUGGGGUUUAACUCUGGCGCCCGUAGCUAACGUGAUAAAUCGACCGCCUGGGGAGUACGGCCGCAAGGUUA
rnacentral:rRNA from 1 species